GACUACGUUUAUUCGUUGGUUGACGGUAGCUUGGCUGUAUUGAAUCGCACUGUCCGCAUUGGGAAUUGAUUGCCAUUUCCAUUGUGCUUGAAGCAAUAUCAUAAAACAAUUGAAAAUCUCAAGAUCAAUCCAAAAUAUUUGAGCGAUAGACGAACGCGUAUAUGAUGGAGAUGAACCAAAUUUCUGACCAAGAAAAAGUUGAAAGUAUCUCUACUGAGAAAAUCUCAUUUUUACAAGGUUUACCUUCGUAAACCAAAAGC